UCCUUCAUAGCUCAGUCGGUAAAGCAUCUGUCUGCAAUAUAGGAGACCUGGGUUCAAUUCCUGGGUCAGGAA
rnacentral:tRNA from 1 species